rnacentral:lncRNA from 1 species
CCGAACAAAUUAAGAAACAAAAAAUAAAGAAACGUAACAACUUCAACCUUGAGCUUCUUCUAAUUUUUUUAAAUGUUUUAAUACAGUAAAAACUGUAAUACUGUGAAAUAAUAUUACAGUUUUAAAUUACUGUUUUCUAUUUGAAUAUAUCUUGAAAUUUUAUUUUAUUCCUGUGAUGCAAAGCUGAAUUUUCAGCAUCAUUACUCCAGUCUUCAGUGUCACAUGAUCCUUCAGAAAUCAUUCUAAUAUGCUGAUUUGCUGCUCAAGAAACAUUGAUGAAAAUAGUUGUGCUGCUUAAUUUUUAUGAAAGUUCAAAAAAGCUAAUAUUAAUAAUUUUUAGUUUGGGAUAAUUAAUGAUUUCUGAAGGAUCAUGCAAUAUAAGAGUAAUGAUGCUUUGCAUCAUCAAAAAGAACAUUUCAACCAUUUUUAACAAUUUUAAACACUUAAAAAACAAUUCUCCAAAUGAAUCUUUUUGCCUUUCUUAAUAUUCCAUGUCCAGUGUCUGAGAUGGUUCCGGAUGAUGAACCAGAGCCAACCGAUGACUUUAGUGGAGGAAACGUUCUCAUAUCACAACGAGGUGUUCAGUGAGUACGACCACUCCGCCUCACCUUUCUAUGGCAAACAGGGCAUCUACACCAAAACAGAGGAACCACCUCCAUCAUCAUCUGUGAACUUACCAUCAGUUACCCUCAACAAAUCAUUACGGGAACCAAGACGCAAUUAUCUGGCACUGCGGCCCAACGGGAGGCCCGUGAACAGGUUUAACAAUAAAACUGUGUCAUUUCAUGACUACGUUGUGGUUCGGGAAUGGGAUGAGGAGAGUGAAGAAAACACAGAGACUACGUUCACAACAGAGGUGGAGAUCUGUACCGAUUUAGAAGAAAUGGACAUGGAUUGUGAAUUAGAAAAUGAUGAUUCAGAUCUCCCAGAAGAAGAAUUUCAAAUUCAAUCACAAAGAAUCACUUCAUACUGUGAUGACAUAUGCAAUGAGUCAGAAAUGCUCAAUAUGCACCUAAAAAUAGUCAACCGAGACUACGAAACACAUAAUACAGAAGACAGAAUUCAUGCAAAACCACUGGAAAUAAGGAACCAAAAAAUAGCUGGAAAGCACAGAUUCAAGUCUGAACUACAAAGUACACAAAGACACUCAACUGAAAGUCAAGAAAGAGAUCGAACAGACACACAAAACACUACACAAGCAGAGGUCUCCAUUUUUCAAAGAGAGACAUAUAUCAUUAACCCUAAAGCCUUGGUUUCAGAGGCCGACAAACCUGUCGUUAAUUAUUCAGAAAGCUUUGAAACAGAUGGUACCAGAAAAUCGGAUGAUCUUAAUUUAGAUCCUCAGGUUUCAGUAGCUGAAAGUUCUGUACAAAACAUUCAUGAUGUAAGUAACUUACAAACACUUCUAAGCACAUUAACACUUGAUCCAGGUCAAUACAAUGGGUCAGAAGAACGUCUGGGAGCUGAGAUGGACAACACCUCAAGCUCAGACAUAUAUUAUGUUAACGAGGACAUUGCAACAAAUUUAGAUGACAGCAGCCCGGAAGAGGAGUCUAUAUCUAAUCAAGAUACAAGCAGUCAACAUCUGAACUAUCUUUAUGAUCCUCACAACACACAGAUAGAAUGUUUCUACGACACAGACACAGAUGAAACUAAAGAUGGGAGAUGAUCAUGGGAGACUGAUGAAAGCUAAGAGUGAUACUGAAUCAACUCAAUGUUUGAAAUGAGCUUGAGCAUUUAAAUGAGCUUUUGUAAAAUGAGAAAAGAACAGAUUUGGCAUCUGCGAGGCAAUGAACAGAUGGGUGAGUAAUACAAGCUUCAAGCUAACUUCUAACCCAAAGUAUUCAAAUCUUUUGCCCUGCCCCGAUGGUUUUCAGACAUCCUGUGCCCUUUCUACAUUAUAUAAUGUACAUCAUUGCACAUAGACAUGCUUUCUUUGUAUUGAAAUUGCACUUUGCAUUGCAAACUCAAAUAAAAUCUACUGAUUACAAACAAUAAGACUGCCUGUGGUGUAGAUAGUUCUGCUAAAAUUAAACUUAGGCAGGACUCAUUCAUUAUGAUAAUAUUGAAUAAUAUCAAAGAAAUGGAAAAACAGGUGCAAUAUGCCUAAAAAUGUUUUUCAAAUGAUGUAAAAGUGACCAGAUCACCCCCUUGUGGAUCUGAUUAGAAUCUGUGCAAAAAAAAGAAUUUACCUGGAAAAUCCACAAAUGGAAACCCAAUUAAAAAUCUGAUUCAUUUUCAUUCAUUUUAUUGAGAAAACGCUCUCAGCUAUGAGACAGUAUUUACAAUACCUGACCACAGCAUACUAAACAGAGUUCACAUUCAAUUAUAAACACACACACACACACACACAUAUAUAUAUACACAAAUUAUAUACUAAUGUUAGGAAAGGAGGUCAUUUUCAGUCAUGGGAAGAAAGGUAAGAAAAUCAAAAAUAAAGUGUCGCAUAUUAACGUCAAAGCAGUCUGAAGAUUGAGGGAGACCGAAAAAGGCACUUGAGAAAANNNNNNNNNNNNNNNNNNNNNNNNNNNNNNNNNNNNNNNNNNNNNNNNNNNNNNNNNNNNNNNNNNNNNNNNNNNNNNNNNNNNNNNNNNNNNNNNNNNNAAAAAUCAUUAGGAUAUUAAGUAAAGAUCAUGUUCCAUGAAGAUAUUUUGUAAAUGUCCUACUGUAAAUAUAUCAAAACUUAAUUUUUGAUUAGUAAUAUGCAUUGCUAAGAACUUCAUUUGAACAACUUUAAAGAUGAUUUUCUCAAUAUUUAUAUUUUUUUGCUCCCUCAGAUUCCAGAUUUUCAAAUAGUUGUAUCUCAGACAAAUAUUGUCCUCCUAACAAACCACACAUCAAUGGAGAGAUCAUUUAUUCAGAAAAAAACGUACUAUAUAUAAGAUUUUAGAGUAACAUACAGUAUGGUAUUUCAGAGGAAACUGCAUUUAUAAUUCGUGUUUAUAGAUGAAUAUAUCCAGUAAUUGAAACGCUUUGUUGAUCUAAUGUACAGUGUAAGCGCGCGCGAUAGACACAGACGCUGUGAUGCAGACUGGAUCUGAUCUGAUCUGAUCUGAUCGGUGGAGGACUGAGAGCUCGCUCUGCUCAUAUCUGAUCAGAAAUCGAUCUCUUCUGAUUGAUUUGUACCUUUCCCGACGCUCCGUCUCCCAGCAGCACGAUCUUCAGCUGCCGCUCCUGGAUCUCCUCUUCGGAGUCCGACAUCCCUCAGAGAUCGACACACACACGGCCACGCACCGAACUCUCGCCGUUAAACACCGAGACGCGGAGGUUUCGAGCAGCGGGGUGAUAAUCUGAUCACGAUCCGCUCGCCGCCAUCUUUCCUCGGAGCAAACCAGCACACCUUCAGCAGCGCCAGCGCGGGCCGAGCUUCAGACACGGGUUACAGCCGCUGCGUGACGUCAUCACCUCCUAAAUAUAGGCUACAGCUAGACUCAGCAGUGAUCAGUUUGAUGUUUAAUUCUGGCGCGAGCGCGAUUUACUGUGUUUGUGUGAACGGCGCACCCUCGAUGCAGCAGGAAUGGACUCGUCCUUCGUGACGCUUCCCAGUUCCCAGAGAGUUGAACAAAGCUUUAUUUUAACAUUAAAUCCAAGAUUUACAACAACAUUGUUAUUUUAUCG